rnacentral:rRNA from 1 species
CGGAGGGUGCAAGCGUUAUCCGGAUUUAUUGGGUUUAAAGGGUCCGUAGGCGGAUCUGUAAGUCAGUGGUGAAAUCUCAUAGCUUAACUAUGAAACUGCCAUUGAUACUGCAGGUCUUGAGUAAAGUAGAAGUGGCUGGAAUAAGUGGUGUAGCGGUGAAAUGCAUAGAUAUUACUUAGAACACCAAUUGCGAAGGCAGGUCACUAUGUUUUAACUGACGCUGAUGGACGAAAGCGUGGGGAGCGAACAGGAUUAGAUACCCUGGUAGUCCACGCCGUAAACGAUGCUAACUUCGUUUUUGGGGCCUUGGCUUCAGAGACUAAGCGAAAGUGAUAAGUUAGCCACCUGGGGAGUACGUUCGCAAGAAUG